rnacentral:rRNA from 1 species
CAGCUCCAAUAGCGUAUAUUAAAGUUGUUGCAGUUAAAAAGCUCGUAGUUGGAUCUAGGGAUGCGCAUUUAUUAUUAUAUAAACAUUUGUAUCAUUGGGUCAAACCAGUGAUUGCAAGUGUUGCGGGCUCGGUCCGUUAAUCAUCCCACAAGGGUGGUUAGCGUGUUAACCGGCCCGCCCAUCCCCUCCUUCUGGAUUCCCGUUCCUGCUAUUGAGUUAGUGGGGACGUCGCAACAGACGGUGGUAAGUUUCUGGGGCCCAGAUCGUUUACCGUGAAAAAAUUAGAGUGUUCAAAGCAGGCAGAUUCAAUUUUCUGCCACCGAAUACAUUAGCAUGGGAUAAUGGAAUAGGACCCUGUCCUCCUUUUUUCAGUUGGUUAAUUCACACAAGAGAGGAACAGGGUAAUGAUUAAUAGGGAUAGUUGGGGGCAUUAAUAUUUAAUUGUCAGAGGUGAAAUUCUUGGAUUUAUGAAAGAUUAACUU